AGACCCGAAACCCGGUGAUCUAGCCAUGGGCAGGUUGAAGGUUGGGUAACACUAACUGGAGGACCGAACCGACUAAUGUUGAAAAAUUAGCGGAUGACCUGUGGCUGGGGGUGAAAGGCCAAUCAAACCGGGAGAUAGCUGGUUCUCCCCGAAAGCUAUUUAGGUAGCGCCUCGUGAAUUCAUCUCCGGGGGUAGAGCACUGUUUCGGCUAGGGGGCCAUCCCGGCUUACCAACCCGAUGCAAACUGCGAAUACCGGAGAAUGUUAUCACGGGAGACACACGGCGGGUGCUAACGUCCGUCGUGAAGAGGGAAACAACCCAGACCGCCAGCUAAGGUCCCAAAGUCAUGGUUAAGUGGGAAACGAUGUGGGAAGGCCCAGACAGCCAGGAUGUUGGCUUAGAAGCAG
rnacentral:rRNA from 2 species